rnacentral:rRNA from 1 species
AUACGGAGGGUGCGAGCGUUAAGCGGAAUUACUGGGCGUAAAGCGUACGUAGGCGGUUGGUUAAGUUAGAUGUGAAAGCCCCGGGCUUAACCUGGGAACUGCAUUUAAAACUGGCGAACUAGAGUUGAGUAGAGGGGAGUGGAAUUUCAGGUGUAGCGGUGAAAUGCGUAGAGAUCUGAAGGAACACCAGUGGCGAAGGCGACUCCCUGGACUCGAACUGACGCUGAGGUACGAAAGCGUGGGUAGCAAACGGGAUUAGAAACCCUAGUAGUCC